rnacentral:tRNA from 1 species
GGGGGUAUAGCUCACUGGUAGAGCAUGUGCUUUGUGGUCCUGAGUUCAGUCCUCAGUGCCUCCA